rnacentral:rRNA from 1 species
CGACAGGCUUAACACAUGCAAGUCGAGGGGCAGCGGGGCUGUAGCAAUACGGCUGCCGGCGACCGGCGCACGGGUGAGUAACGCGUAUGCAACCUGCCCCAUGCAGGGGGAUAACCGGGGGAAACCCCGACUAACACCGCGUAAGCCGCGAUGACGCAUGUCAUUGCGGUGAAAUAUUUAUAGGCAAGGGAUGGGCAUGCGUAAUAUUAGGAAGUUGGCGGGGUAACGGCCCACCAAUCCGACGAUAUUUAGGGGUUCUGAGAGGAAGGUCCCCCACAUUGGUACUGAGACACGGACCAAACUCCUACGGGAGGCAGCAGUGAGGAAUAUUGGUCAAUGGGCGAGAGCCUGAACCAGCCAAGUCGCGUGAGGGAAGAAGGUUCUAUGGAUUGUAAACCUCUUUAGUGCAGGGGCAAAAGGCGCCACGUGUGGCGUAUUGAGAGUACUGCAAGAAUAAGCAUCGGCUAACUCCGUGCCAGCAGCCGCGGUAAUACGGAGGAUGCGGGCGUUAUCCGGAUUUAUUGGGUUUAAAGGGUGCGCAGGCGGCGCGUCAAGUCAGAGGUAAAAUGUCGGUGCUCAACAUCGGCCGGCCUCUGAAACUGGCGGGCUAGCGUGGGCGGGAGGCAUGCGGAAUGCGCCGUGUAGCGGUGAGAUGCAUAGAUAUGGCGCAGAACCCCGAUUGCGAAGGCAGCAUGCCGUCGCCCAACGGACGCUGAGGCACGAAAGCGUGGGUAUCGAACAGGAUUAGAUACCCUGGUAGUCCACGCAGUAAACGAUGAAUACUAGCUGUCCGGGCCGAUUGGGGCCUGGGUGGCACAGCGAAAGCGUUAAGUAUUCCACCUGGGGAGUACGCCGGCAACGGUGAAACUCAAAGGAAUUGACGGGGGCCCGCACAAGCGGAGGAACAUGUGGUUUAAUUCGAUGAUACGCGAGGAACCUUACCCGGGCUCGAACGCAAGACCAAUGGCAUGGAAACGUGCCAGCCAGCAAUGGGGUAUUGCGAGGUGCUGCAUGGUUGUCGUCAGCUCGUGCCGUGAGGUGUCGGCUUAAGUGCCAUAACGAGCGCAACCCCCGCGUCCAGUUGCCAGCGCGUAAAGGCGGGGACUCUGGACGGACUGCCGGCGCAAGCCGCGAGGAAGGCGGGGAUGAC